GAUGAACGCUGGCGGCGUGCCUAAUACAUGCAAGUCGAGCGAACGGACGAGAAGCUUGCUUCUCUGAUGUUAGCGGCGGACGGGUGAGUAACACGUGGAUAACCUACCUAUAAGACUGGGAUAACUUCGGGAAACCGGAGCUAAUACCGGAUAAUAUUUUGAACCGCACGGUUCAAAAGUGAAAGACGGUCUUGCUGUCACUUAUAGAUGGAUCCGCGCUGCAUUAGCUAGUUGGUAAGGUAACGGCUUACCAGGGCAACGAUGCAUAGCCGACCUGAGAGGGUGAUCGGCCACACUGGAACUGAGACACGGUCCAGACUCCUACGGGAGGCAGCAGUAGGGAAUCUUCCGCAAUGGGCGAAAGCCUGACGGAGCAACGCCGCGUGAGUGAUGAAGGUCUUCGGAUCGUAAAACUCUGUUAUUAGGGAAGAACAUAUGUGUAAGUAACUGUGCACAUCUUGACGGUACCUAAUCAGAAAGCCACGGCUAACUACGUG
rnacentral:rRNA from 1 species